rnacentral:rRNA from 1 species
GAUGAACGCUAGCUACAGGCUUAACACAUGCAAGUCGAGGGACCGGCGCACGGGUGAGUAACACGUAUCCAACCUGCCCUUUACUCGGGGAUAGCCUUUCGAAAGAAAGAUUAAUACACGAUGUAAAGGAUGGGGAUGCGUUCCAUUAGGUUGUUGGGUAGGUAACGGCUCACCAAGCCUUCGAUGGAUAGGGGUUCGGAGAGGAAGGUCCCCCACAUUGGAACUAGGACACGCUCCAAACUCCGAGGUGAGUCAGCAGUGUGGAAUAGUGGUCAAUGGGCGUUAGCAUGAACCAGCCAAGUAGAGUGAAGGAUGAAGGCUUAUGGGUCGGAAACUUCUUUUAUAUAAGAAUAGGUAUUAGAUGAAUAAGGAUCGGCUAACUCCGUGCCAGCAGCCGCGGUAAUAC